GGUUUCUUUCUCUCUCCAACUGAGAGCUUUUUCCCCUCUGGGGGUUUUAGUCCUUGCCCUAAUUGAUCAAAUCUACCAAAAAUUACUUCAAUUUCAUAGCCUAAUCAUACUCUCAAACAGGUUUCAACAAAUAACCCCAUCAAAUCCCUAUUUUCAUCUUCUCUGUUCUCCAAUUUUAACACUCUUAGUUCUCUCUGUUUCUAAGGUUUAACCCCAAAAUAGUCUAAAAUCUCUCGUGAAACAGUCCUAAAGAGCCGCCAAAACAGUUGAGCAACCAAACUCCGUUGGAGAUCCGGCGAGGCUUCUCUGUCGAGACUCUGCUUCGUAGUUUUGGUGUUUCAGUUUACUGUUCGUUGCUCCGUUCGACUGUAUUGAGUUAUAAAAUUUGGCUGUGCUCAUAAAUAUACAGCUUUCCUUGUAAGCAAGCUCGUGGGCUAUUGAUUUGGGCAUCUAGAACUGGUAUAAAAGUACUAUCGAGGAAAGUGGCAGUUUCGUUGCUUUUGCAUUUUGGCUUCAAUUUCUUCACGGAAAAGUACUCUUAAACACAAGUUUCUAAAAUUAUUGCAUGACUCCUUGUUAGAAAUAUCUCCGAUUGGUA
rnacentral:lncRNA from 1 species